rnacentral:rRNA from 1 species
AAUAGAUACCCUGGUAGUCCACGCCGUAAACGAUGGAUACUAGCUGUUGGAGGUAUCGACCCCUUCAGUAGCGAAGCUAACGCGUUAAGUAUCCCGCCUGUGGAGUACGGUCGCAAGACUAAAACAUAAAGGAAUUGACGGGGACCCGCACAAGCGGUGGAUCGUGUCCUUUAAUUCGAUGCUAAACGAAGAACCUUACCAGGGUUUGACAUCCCUUGAAUUAAUCCGAAAGGAUUGAGUGCUUUAUUGAACAAGGUGACAGGUGAUGCAUGGCCGUCGUCAGCUCGUGUCGUGAGAUGUUUGGUUAAGUCCAUCAACGAGCGCAACCCUUGCAAGUAGUUGUAUUUUUCUACUUGGACUGCCCCGGUAACGGGGAGGAAGGAGGGGAUGAUGUCAGGUCAGUAUUUCCCUUACGUCCUGGGCUAGAAACACGAUACAAUGGCUAGUACAAUGCGCAGCGAAGCCGCGAGGUGAAGCAAAUCGCAUCAAAGCUAGUCCCAGUUCGGAUUGGAGGCUGAAACUCGCCUCCAUGAAGUCGG